CAGAGACUGCAAGCGUUAUUCGGAUUCACUGGGCGUAAAGGGUGCGCAGGCGGUCGUGUGUGUCAGAUGUGAAAUCCCGGAGCUUAACUCCGGAACUGCGUCUGAAACUACACGACUAAAGCAUUGGAGAGGGAAGUGGAAUUCAUGGUGUAGCAGUGAAAUGCGUAGAUAUCAUGAGGAACACCAGAGGCGAAGGCGACUUCCUGGACAAUUGCUGACGCUCAGGCACGAAAGCAUGGGGAGCAAAAGGGAUUAGAUACCCCUGUAGUCCAUGCCCUAAACGGUGCACACUAGGUCUUGGAGGAUUCGACCCCUUCAGGGCCCAAGCUAACGCGUUAAGUGUGCCGCCUGAGGACUACGGUCGCAAGACUA
rnacentral:rRNA from 1 species